CCUACGGGUGGCUGCAGUGGGGAAUAUUGGACAAUGGGGGCAACCCUGAUCCAGCCAUGCCGCGUGUGUGAAGAAGGCCCUCGGGUUGUAAAGCACUUUCAGUGAGGAAGAACGCCUGGUGGUUAAUACCCAUCAGGAAAGACAUCACUCACAGAAGAAGCACCGGCUAACUCCGUGCCAGCAGCCGCGGUAAUACGGAGGGUGCGAGCGUUAAUCGGAAUUACUGGGCGUAAAGCGCGCGUAGGUGGCUUGAUAAGCCGGUUGUGAAAGCCCCGGGCUCAACCUGGGAACGGCAUCCGGAACUGUCAAGCUAGGGUGCAGGAGAGGAAGGUAGAAUUCCCGGUGUAGCGGUGAAAUGCGUAGAGAUCGGGAGGAAUACCAGUGGCGAAGGCGGCCUUCUGGACUGACACUGACACUGAGGUGCGAAAGCGUGGGUAGCAAACAGGAUUAGAUACCCCUGUAGUC
rnacentral:rRNA from 1 species